rnacentral:lncRNA from 1 species
UGGGGAGGUUCAUCCACUAGAGGAGUUUGGGGAUCCUGUGGAAGUCUGGAUGGCGUUGUGGAAGUCCGACUGACGCUAUUGAAGGCUGAUGGCUAGGGAGGUUUGGCAGACACUGGAGGUGAUCGGUCAUUGUAGAAAUCUAGCUAUUGGAGCCUGUCUGUUGUAGAAGCUCAUCUGAAAUCCAUCCGCUGUGGAAGUUCAGAUAGAGUCCA